rnacentral:rRNA from 1 species
GACGAACGCUGGCGGCGUGCUUAACACAUGCAAGUCGAACGGAAAGGCCCUGCUGUUGUGGGGUGCUCGAGUGGCGAACGGGUGAGUAACACGUGAGUAACCUGCACUUGACUUUGGGAUAACUUCAGGAAACUGGGGCUAAUACCGGAUAGGAGCUCCUGCUGCAUGGUGGGGGUUGGAAAGUUUCGGCGGUUGGGGAUGGACUCGCGGCUUAUUAGCUUGUUGGUGGGGUAGUGGCUUACCAAGGCUUUGACGGGUAGCCGGCCUGGGAGGGUGACCGGCUAGGGUGUGAGUGACGCCCCGGCCACACUCGGAAGGGAGGAAGGGGUAGGGAUGAAUAGAGGGUGGGAGCAAGAUUGAUCAAGCCCUGUGGCGUGAGUGAUGCCUGCGGUUUGGAUGCCAAUUUCUCUUGUCCGGGACGAUAAUGACGGUAAAGGGAGAAAAAGCCCCGGCUAAAUUCGUG